AUAACACAAACGAGUCCUAUGAUGAUGCCUCCAACAUAAGAGCAGAUGAACCGCUGGAGACAUAUGAUGAUAUCAUGUCAUGUGGAUAAAGUGAAGGAGUUGUUACGGAAUGAAGAAGAGGAGCUGAAUAAAGAUGGAGAGAGCGAGAGAGUGAAAGAGA